CUAAACCAGGCUGGGUGCAAAUAGAGGACACGUCUAAGGCUGUUCAGGAUGGAAAUUAUCUGGUUCCACCCCUGGAUAUGAUCAACCUUCAUAGACUGUGCAUUAUACAUGUAGCCAUCUCUGCGACCUGCAAAGAUGAAAAGGGAAAGCAGGAGAUGGAAACUGGUCAGCAGCCUUCUGGUUUAUCAGCCACACUUACAAAGGUCAAAUGUGCAAAGCGUCAGAAGACAGUGGUUAGAGUGAGAUUCUACAUGCUCUCAAUGAAGAAUAAAGCAUGCAGGAAGAACCUUUCAAAAGGUUACAACCAGAGACCUGAAGGAAGCAAGGAAGAAAGCCACAUGGUUGUCAAAGAGAAGAGGAAAGGAGAUCACUAAGCUGGAUGACGUUUUCUGUUUCUUUGAAAACAGAGAAGAUGACAAGUUAGGGAGAGAUCAGAGGUCAUACUGUGAAGCACCUUUGGAUAAACGGCAGGGACUUUGGAUUUUCUUUUUGAAUAUAAGCAUAAUCCAUUGAAAGGUCUCAUGCAGGGAAGUGGCAAAACACUUUUAAAAUUUUUCAUCUUUUCUUUCUGAAGCAGAGUUCACUCUCCAUUUAUUUGUCUUCUUUGAUAUCUCUCAAUAGAAUGUUGCAGUUUUAGUAUUCUCCUAUUAAACAUUUGUUUAACUUUCUUGUUCUUCUAAAUAAUAAUUUAUUCUCCUUAUUUUCAUCAUUAGUGUCCCUGAAAUGCCAGAGUUUCAGACUAGGUCUACUACUCACCACACAAAAAGCCAAUCACUGAGACACAAGUAUUGACAAGUAAGAAGGCUUUAAUCAGGUGCUGCAGCCUAGUUGAUGAGAGAUUAGUCUCAAAUCCACCUCCCUGAUGGACUAAAAUCAGGGGAUUAUGUAGUAGAGAAGAAAUGUAACUACAUGUGAGGAAAUAGGAAUCAGGGAGGGAUAAGCAAGAGGAGUUGGUCAGAAAGACACGGGUGGUCAGUUAGGCCACCAUGAUGGGUGAG
rnacentral:lncRNA from 10 species